rnacentral:rRNA from 1 species
AAAUUGAAGAGUUUGAUCAUGGCUCAGAUUGAACGCUGGUGGCAGGCCUAACACAUGCAAGUCGAACGGUAACAGGAAACAGCUUGCUGUUUCGCUGACGAGUGGCGGACGGGUGAGUAAUGUCUGGGAAACUGCCUGAUGGAGGGGGAUAACUACUGGAAACGGUAGCUAAUACCGCAUAACGUCGCAAGACCAAAGAGGGGGACCUUCGGGCCUCUUGCCAUCGGAUGUGCCCAGAUGGGAUUAGCUAGUAGGUGGGGUAACGGCUCACC